GGGAUCUUAGCUCAGCUGGGAGAGCAUCUGCCUUACAAGCAGAGGGUCACAGGUUCGAGCCCUGUAGG
rnacentral:tRNA from 1 species